rnacentral:lncRNA from 1 species
CAGGUUCAAUUCCUGGCCUCACUCAGUGAGUCAAGAAUCCAGUAUUGCCAUGAGCUAUGGUGUAUAUCACAGACAUGCUUAGAUCCCACACUGCUGUGGUUUUAGCAUAGGCUGGCAUUUUUAGCUCUGAUUUGAAUCCUAGCCUGGGAACUUCCAUAUACCAUAGGCACAGCCCUAAAAAAGCAAAAAAAAAAAAAAAAAAAAAAUUGGCCAUGCCCACAGCAUGUGGAAAAUCCCAGGCCAUGGAUUGAACUGGAGCCACAGCAGCGACCCUAGCCACACUGGAUCCUCAAACCUCUGAACCAUCAGGAAACUCCCCAACUGACUUCUCUAUGCCUCAGUUUCUUCAUCUGUACUCUACAGAUAAGAGUAUUAAUGGCGUCAUUCCAAGGAUCAGAGAGUUAACAAAAUAUUGCCCACACAGGGUAAGCGAUCAGGAGCAGAGAGUUAUUAUAGCUCUCUUUAGCAUCUCUGUAACUACUGCAAUUUAUUCUUUUUUAAUUAAAAAAAAUAUUUUUUGGCCACACCUGUGGCAUGUGGGACAGCACUGGAUCCUUAACCCAUUGAGACAUAAGAGAACUCCCUUCUUUUUUAAAAAACUGAAGUGCAGCUGAUUUACAUUAUCAGUUUCAGGAGUAGAGCACAGUGAUUCAGUUUAUAUACAUAUAUACACAUACAUAUUCUUUUUCGGAAUCUUUUUUUUUUCUUUUUACAGUCGCACCUGAGGCAUAUGCAAGUUUCUAGGCUAGGGGUUGAAUUGGAGCUGCAGCUGCAGGCCUACGCCACAGCCAUGACAAUACCAGAUCUGAGCUGCAUCUGUGAACUACGUGGCAGCUUGAGGCAAUACCAGAUCCCUAACCCACUGAGUGAGGCCAGGGAUCGAACCCACAUCCCUACAGACACUAUGUUGGGUUCUUAACCCACUGAGCCACAAGAGGAACUCCAGAAUCUUUUACCUUAUAGGUUAUUACAAAAUAUUGAGUAUAGUUCCCUGUACUACACCUUAGGUCCUGGCUGGUUAUCUGCUUUUUAUGUAUAAUAGUGUGUACAUGUUAAUCCCAACCUCCUAAUUUAUCCCUCCCCUGACUCCCCUUACUUAUUCCUUAAGAGAACAAGCCUCAGGCUCAGUCUUUAGCAGGCAACAGAAUCUAACCAGCUAGUAAUACUGAUGUUCCAUUUAUAGUAGGAUAUAAAGAGAUACAAAUUUAACAAUAGAGUCCAUUUAAAAUAAACACUAGAUAGUAAUACAGGUGGUACCUGGAUAGGGCAAAAAGUUAAAAACAAUAAAAUCAGUAUUAAAAGCAUAAAAGCUAGAGAAGUAUACUCAAGUGUUCUCACAUACACAAAAAGAUAACUAUGUGGGGAGUUCCCAUCAUGGCUCGGCGGUUAACGAACCUGACUAGGAUUCGUGAGGAUUCGGGUUUGAUCCCUAGCCUCGCUCAGUGGGUUAAGGAUGCGGCGUUGCCAUGAGCAGUGGUAUAGGUUGCAUGCUGGAACUUUCAGACCUGGCUGAGCAUACAAAUCAUCUAGGAUGCUUGUUGCAAAAAAAGAUUCCUAUAUUUUACUCUAAGCACUUUAGGGUUGGGGCCUGGAAUCUGUAUUUUAAAUAAAUGUCUCAGGUGAUCCUCCUAUAACUAGUCUAGUACUGGACAAAAAUUAGGACUUAGGGACUGCUGCUGGGUCAGAAAACAAACAAGGAGGAGUUCCUGUUGUGGCGCACGGUUAACGAAUCCGACUACGAACCAUGAGGUUGCGGGUUCAAUCCCUGGCCUUGCUCAGUAGAUUAAGGAUCCGGUGUUGCCGUGAGCUGUGGUGUAGGUCAAAGACGUGGCUUGGAUCCCAUGUUGCUGUGGCUGUGGUGUAGGCCGGCGGCUAGAGCUCCGAUUAGACCCCCUAGCCUUCGAACCUCCAUAUGCCGCAGGAGUGGCCCUAGAAAAGGCAAAAAGACAAAAAGACAAAAAAAAAAAG